CUCUAGGUGAUCAACACUCGAGGUCCUAUGUGUUGUGUAUCGUAGGCAAUCAACUUUUAGAACCAGAAACUCAAUUGGAUGAAUUAUCCUAAUUGAUUAUGUAGAUUCAAUUGAACAAGUUCAACUUUUUCACAACUGAUUUAAGUACUUUCAAACACAUGAAAUUGCCAUCAAGUUAAGUGCACAUGGAUCACGAUAAUUCUCAAAAGAGGCCAUAUGUUACAAUCUACCAGUUCUAAUUGAUGCGGUA